rnacentral:rRNA from 1 species
AAAAGCUCGUAGUUGGAUCUCAGCUCCGGCCGGACGGUCCGCCUACCGGUGGUUACUGUUCGAYGCCGAGCGAUCAGGCGGUUAUUCUUGAUGAUCUUCACCGGUUGUCUCGGGUGACCGCCAAGUUUACUUUGAAAAAAUUAGAGUGCUCAAAGCAGGCGCGACGCCUGAAUAAUUGUGCAUGGAAUAAUGGAAUAGGACCUCGGUUCUAUUUUGUUGGUUUUCGGAACUCGAGGUAAUGAUUAAGAGGGACAGACGGGGGCAUUCGUAUUGCGACGCUAGAGGUGAAAUUCUUGGACCGUCGCAAGACGAACUACUGCGAAAGCAUUUGCCAAGAAUGUUUCCAUUAAUCAAGAACGAAAGUUAGAGGUUCGAAGGCGAUCAGAUACCGCCCUAGUUCURACCAUAAACGAUGUCAGCCAGCAAUCCGCCUGUGUUCCUCAAAYGACACGGCGGGCGGCUUCCGGGAAACCAAAGCUUUUGGGUUCCGGGGGAAGUAUGGUUGCAAAGCUGAAACUUAAAGGAAUUGACGGAAGGGCACCACCAGAAAUGGAGCCUGCGGCUUAAUUUGACUCAACACGGGAAAACUUACCCGGCCCGGACACAGGAAGGAUUGACAGAUUAAGAGCUCUUUCUUGAUUCUGUGGGUGGUGGUGCAUGGCCGUUCUUAGUUGGUGGGGCGACUUGUCUGGUUAAUUCCGAUAACGAACGAGACUCUAGCCUACUAAAUAGACGUUCCGAUCCUCUUUCGUCGGACGUUCUUCUUAGAGGGACAAGCGGCGUUUAGCCGCACGAGACAGAGCAAUAACAGGUCUGGGAUGCCCUUAGAUGUCCGGGGCCGCACGCGCGCUACAUUGAAGGAAUCAACGUGUGCUUUCCCUGUCCGACAGGACUGGGUAACCCGUUGAACCUCCUUCGUGCUGGGGAUUGG